AGAAAAGAAUUUGGCACGUGUCUUGGUUCUAGGUACAAGAGUCAACACCUCUUGUAUGUUAUGUCUAAAUACAGGAGUCACAAUCUCAAUGGUGGACUGGAAUCGUGCAUGAGAGCCUCAAUCACUUUUGUGGACUGUGUCUCCUUAGUCACAGCCUUACAGGUAUGCCGAGUCAUGGUCUGAAAGUCACCAGCCCUCCUUUUGACUGGUUCCACAUGUGAAAAGUCCACCCUUUGCCUCCAGUUGUGAGAUUCAGUUCCUCAGCUGUGGGCUGUGUUCAUGUGGAAAGAUGACAAUCUUGACUGCUGGUCGAGUUGUUUCUUCUAAGGCGAGAAUCGAGGUUCCUGCACUCAUACCCGUAUGAAUUCACUUCCAGUAAAAGCACAUCACAGUUCAGACCAGCCACAUUCCAGGCACUCAGUCGCCACACAUGGCCAGUAGCUGCCACAUUGAAGUGCAGCUCUGACCUCGGGAGCAAAGGGCCUGAAAAAACUUUUCUGCCAAAGCUGAAAAAAGAGCCUUUCCCUACCAACAUUUCUCUUCAGCUCUGAGGGAGGAACAGAUAGUAGCCAUAGAAAAAUCAGAGGACAGCAAGAAAAAAACAACCACAGGUAGACCACUGCUGGCCACCCGUUGUCCACCUUUCUUCCAGAGAUCAGAAGGUGAACAAAGGAUGAUAAGGCCACAGGAGAAGAAAUCUCUAUAUCUUCAAACCUGUGCACAGUCUUGACCUCCAAUGUUUAGAUAUGAAGAAAACAGA